rnacentral:rRNA from 1 species
AUUGAACGCUGGCGGCAGGCCUAACACAUGCAAGUCGAGCGGAUGAUGGGAGCUUGCUCCUUGAUUCAGCGGCGGACGGGUGAGUAAUGCCUAGGAAUCUGCCUGUAGUGGGGGACAACGUUUCGAAAGGAACGCUAAUACCGCAUACGUCCUACGGGAGAAAGCAGGGGACCUUCGGGCCUUGCGCUAUCAGAUGCGCCUAGGUCGGAUUAGCUUGUUGGUGAGGUAAUGGCUCACCAAGGCGACGAUCCGUAACUGGUCUGAGAGGAUGAUCAGUCACACUGGAACUGAGACACGGUCCAGACUCCUACGGGAGGCAGCAGUGGGGAAUAGUGGACAAUGGGCGAAAGCCUGAUCCAGCCAUGCCGCGUGUGUGAAGAAGGUCUUCGGAUUGUAAAGCACUUUAAGUUGGGAGGAAGGGUUGUAGAUUAAUACUCUGCAAUUUUGACGUUACCGACAGAAUAAGCACCGGCUAACUCUGUGCCAGCCGCCGCCGUAACAC